rnacentral:rRNA from 1 species
AUACCGGCGGCUCGAGUGGUGGCCACUAUUACUGGGCUUAAAGCGUUCGUAGCUUGGUUGUUAAGUCUCUUGGGAAAUCUAUCGGCUUAACCGAUAGGCGUCCAGGGGAUACUGGCAAUCUAGGGACCGGGAGAGGUGAGGGGUACUUCAGGGGUAGGAGUGAAAUCCUGUAAUCCCUGGGGGACCACCUGUGGCGAAGGCGCCUCACCAGAACGGCUCCGACAGUGAGGGACGAAAGCUGGGGGAGCAAACCGGAUUAGAUACCCGGGUAGUCCCAGCCGUAAACGAUGCACGUUAGGUGUAUCGAUGACCACGAGUCAUCGAGGUGCCGAAGGGAAACCGUGAAACGUGCCGCCUGGGAAGUACGGUCGCAAGGCUGAA